rnacentral:rRNA from 1 species
CAUUAAUGAAAUAAAGCAAAUGCUUUUGGGGUUUUCUUAUGGGUUGUUGCUGGCCUAUUACUAGGUAUUAUUUAUAAGUGCACGCCCUUUGACUCCCUGGGGUAUUUCAGUUCUUUCUUCACACCUUGUGCACUAUCUGUAGCUUAUAAUCUGGCUAUGAAGUUUUUUAUAUACACACAAAGUCUAUUAGAACGUUUAUAACUGCAUCUUCAAUGAUGUUGAAUUAAAAUACAACUUUCAGCAACGGAUCUCUUGGCUCUCGCAUCGAUGAAGAACGCAGCGAAAUGCGAUAAGUAAUGUGAAUUGCAGAAUUCAGUGAAUCAUCGAAUCUUUGAACGCACCUUGCGCUCCUUGGUAUUCCGAGGAGCAUGCCUGUUUGAGUGUCAUGAAAUUCUCAACUGCCCUAUGGGUGAAGUUGGAUUUUGGAGUGCUUUGCUGGCUUUUUUUGUUAUCCAGCUACUCCUAAAAGUAUUUCAAGCCCUUUUGUUGGGAGAUUCUUGGCAUUAUAAAGUAUCUUUUGACGUGAUAACUAUCUACGUCGCAGAGAAAAGCCUUGAAGAUUACAAUACUGGGCUUGUAACAAAGAAAAUUCAUUUGAAAAAAUCUAUUUGACCUCAAAUCAGGCAGGACUACCCGCUGAACUUAA